GAUGAACGCUGGCGGCGCGCCUAACACAUUCAAGUCGAACGGAGUGGCGAACGGCUGAGUAACACGUGGGCAACCUGCGCUACUCUUGGGGAUAGCCACGGGAACGCAGGCGAAUACCCGCUAGAGAAGGAUGGCCUGGGGCCUGUUCGCUAGUUGGUGGGGUAGAGGACUACCAAGGCAAUGAAGGGUAGCUGGGUUGAGAGACCGACCAGCCAGAUUGGGACUGAGACACGGCCCAGACUCCUACGGGAGGCAGCAGUGGGGAAUCUUGCACAAGGGGCGAAAGCCUGAUGCAGCGACGCCGCGUGCGGGACGAAGGCCUUCGGGUUGUAAACCGCUUUCAGCAGGGACGCGGUACCGGAAUAGAAAGCCACGGCUAACUACGUGCCAGCAGCCGCGGUAAUUC
rnacentral:rRNA from 1 species